rnacentral:rRNA from 1 species
AUUGAACGCUGGCGGCAGGCCUAACACAUGCAAGUCGAACGGUAACAGGAAGAAGCUUGCUUCUUUGCUGACGAGUGGCGGACGGGUGAGUAAUGUCUGGGAAACUGCCUGAUGGAGGGGGAUAACUACUGGAAACGGUAGCUAAUACCGCAUAACGUCGCAAGACCAAAGAGGGGGACCUUCGGGCCUCUUGCCAUCGGAUGUGCCCAGAUGGGAUUAGCUAGUAGGUGGGGUAACGGCUCACCUAGGCGACGAUCCCUAGCUGGUCUGAGAGGAUGACCAGCCACACUGGAACUGAGACACGGUCCAGACUACUACGGGAGGCAGCAGUGGGGAAUAUUGCACAAUGGGAGCAAGCCUGAUGCAGCCAUGACGCGUGUAUGAAGAAGGCCUUCGGGUUGUAAAGUACUUUCAGCGGGGAGGAAGGGAGUAAAGUUAAUACCUUUGCUCAUUGACGUUACCCGCAGAAGAAGCACCGGCUAACUCCGUG